ACUUACUAGUGCUGACAGCGUAGAUUACGGUAAACAGAAACAAACAUGCCUCCUUAGAAUGAAGGUCAGAAAGGGAAUUCCAGAGAAGAAAUGAACCCUACCUAGAAGCAUAUUAAGUAGCCGCUACCAAGGGAUGAACCCAAAUAGUGGAAAAGACGGAUUGAGCAAUUGACAUUCAAAAAAACGGCCUACCGCAAUAACAAUUUAAGAGAUUAAAAAUAGAUUUAUCAUUUUUUAUAAUUUUUUUAUUUUUGGGAUUUCUUCUGGCUUGGCCAUCCAAUUGAUGAUUGUUUAUUAACUUACGAUUAUAUUAGUGCUAAACCACCAUUAUUUAUUACAGUCGGUGUUAUUAAGCGUAUUGCUGACGAGAUUUUUUUUCUUGUAUGAAUCCAAAUUUGCGAUGCUACGCCUUGACUGUUUUCUUUUUUUCACCAUAGUAUGUGAAAAUUUUCUGAUGCCGAAAUCUCAGCAAUGGUGAAAUUUUGCCAAAAAAGGGGUCAAUUGAUCUUGAAUAGGGCUGAAAAAAAAAUUCAAAAGUAAAUAAAAUUAAAUAUAUUUAUUUACAAAAAGUUAAGUCGGUUUGGUUUUUCGCUUCUCUUUUUACAAAAUUUUUUAUUAUUUUAUUAUUUAUUUAUUAAUUUUAUAUCUAGCAGAUCAAUAUUUAGCAAGCCACCCCGUACAAUAAUUAAAAUAGCUCUUUUCAUGACAUAGUAAGAAGACUAAAGUGCGAAACAUGUUCAAUUAACGCCAAGAAAAUGCUUCCGUUUACGCCUCCUUCAACCAUACCCGAAUUUUUUACUCAAAAUUUAUGUACGUACUUUUGGCUGUAUUACAAGAAUCCAUAGCUAACCUCUGUAAAAGGAUAUCACCUUAUACACAAAGGCU